rnacentral:rRNA from 1 species
UCCAGCCAUACCACCCUGAACAUGCCUGAUCUCAUCUGAUCUCAGAAGUUAAGCAGGAUCAGGCCUGGGUACUACUUGGAU